GGCUCGGUAGUCUAGUUGGUUAUGGCGUCAGUCUAACAUUCGUUAGAUCCACUGAAGGUCCCGAGUUCAAACCUCGGCUGAGUCA
rnacentral:tRNA from 1 species